rnacentral:rRNA from 1 species
AUGAACGCUGGCGGCGUGCCUAAUACAUGCAAGUCGAGCGAACGGACGAGAAGCUUGCUUCUCUGAUGUUAGCGGCGGACGGGUGAGUAACACGUGGAUAACCUACCUAUAAGACUGGGAUAACUUCGGGAAACCGUAGCUAAUACCGGAUAAUAUUUUGAACCGCAUGGUUCAAAAGUGAAAGACGGUCUUGCUGUCACUUAUAGAUGGAUCCGCGCUGCAUUAGCUAGUUAGUAAGGUAACGGCUUACCAAGGCAACGAUGCAUAGCCGACCUGAGAGGGUGAUCGGCCACACUGGAACUGAGACACGGUCCAGACUCCUACGGGAGGCAGCAGUAGGGAAUCUUCCGCAAUGGGCGAAAGCCUGACGGAGCAACGCCGCGUGAGUGAUGAAGGUCUUCGGAUCGUAAAACUCUGUUAUUAGGGAAGAACAUAUGUGUAAGUAACUGUGCACAUCUUGGCGGUACCUAAUCAGAAAGCCACGGCUAACUACGUG